AUAUUUCUUCAGGGCAGGGUGAAAUUCCCGACCGGCGGUAAAGUCCGCGAGCUGCAUAGGCAGUUGACUUGGUGAGAUUCCAAGACCGACAGUAAAGUCUGGAUGGGAGAAGAUAAGC
rnacentral:ncRNA from 2 species